rnacentral:tRNA from 1 species
UGGACCAUUAGCUCAGUUGGUUAGAGCAAACGGCUCAUAACCGUUAGGUCACAGGCUCAAGUCCUGUAUGGUCCAU